rnacentral:lncRNA from 1 species
UAAUUAAGUAUACUUCUUUAUUGAAUGUGCAGAAGAAACUUUUCAUUGUUUUCAUUUUCAUUCAUUUUCAUUAUUUUACCAUUUGAUACACAAUUGUGUACCUCAUUUCCAGAACACUAAGUAAUUGUACAUGUCUGGAGUGCAGAGUCAAAGAUGAGAGAAAAUUUUAUCGCUGCUAGUAGUUCAAAACAAGUACUUUGGCCUGAUAGGUGGUAUUAAGAAGGUAUUUCUCAACUUUAAUUUCAGAACAGUAUAGUAAAUGUUUCCAUGGUUUUCUGGAACAUAAUUGCUACAUAAAUUUAGGAUCUGGCUGGGUCAGAUUGAUGAGUAAGGCUUUUGGAAUAAGGGCAAUUUAUCUGCAGAAAAGGACACAAAUGUGUACUGCUGUUGCUUUUACCCUGAAUGUACUGUCAUAAAUACAGACAGUAUUAAAUCAUAGAGUACCUGCAACAUAACUGGACAAUUUCUCAUAAUCAUUUUAUUUUCCAGCUUGCAUUCAUUCUAUUGUCUAUUUUUUUUUUUUAUAGACCUGAGAGUUUAUUCAUUGGAAUCAAAUAGGCAAUGUCAGAAAGAUUUUAUGAACACAUAUUGUAAGAACAUACAAACUGACUCUGCAGAACAUUCAUCUAGUUUUUAAUUCCUUUCUUAAAAAGACCUAGUGUUUAACAACAUACUUACUUUCCCUUGGGUUUCCCUGGUAGCAAAGAUGGAAAAAGAAUCAUAUCUCAACAAUGGGAUCAUUAAACCAGUUAAUCAUAUCAUCUUAAAAUGUUUAAAUUCAUAGUACUGAAAGCAAAUGCCAAUGAUUGCUGCAAUAGAAUAUAUCUAAAUGAUACAUUAUGUCCAAGAUUUUCUCCCUCCCCAAAUCUUUAAGGAAACUUGUUCUUAAGAAACACUAAGAUUUUUAGCAUAUGGGGAUUUUAAAUGCAUUUUUUUAAAAUCAAAUAGUAUUAAAUUAUAGACUGGAACUCAAGAUUCUAU